rnacentral:rRNA from 1 species
AUUGAACGCUGGCGGCAGGCCUAACACAUGCAAGUCGAGCGAGCGGCGGACGGGUGAGUAAUGUAUGGGGACUGCCCGAUAGAGGGGGAUAACUACUGGAAACGGUGGCUAAUACCGCAUACUAUCGGAUAACCCAUAUGGGAUUAGCUAGUAGGUGGGGUAACGGCUCACCUAGGCGACGAUCUCUAGCUGGUCUGAGAGGAUGAUCAGUCACACUGGGACGUUGAUACGGCCCAAACUCCGACGGAGGCAGCAGUGGGGAAUAUUGCACAAGGGGCGCAAGCCGGAGGCAGCCAUGCCGCGUGUAUGAAGAAGGCCUUAGGGUUGUAAAGUACUUUCAGCGGGGGGGCGUUACCCACAGAAGAAGCACCGGCUAACUCCGUGCCAGCAGCCGCGGUAAUUC